rnacentral:rRNA from 2 species
GGUUAAGCGACUAAGCGUACACGGUGGAUGCCCUGGCAGUCAGAGGCGAUGAAGGACGUGCUAAUCUGCGAUAAGCGUCGGUAAGGUGAUAUGAACCGUUAUAACCGGCGAUUUCCGAAUGGGGAAACCCAGUGUGUUUCGACACACUAUCAUUAACUGAAUCCAUAGGUUAAUGAGGCGAACCGGGGGAACUGAAACAUCUAAGUACCCCGAGGAAAAGAAAU